AUGAACGCUGGCGGCGUGCCUAAUACAUGCAAGUCGAGCGAACAGAUGAGGAGCUUGCUCCUCUGACGUUAGCGGCGGACGGGUGAGUAACACGUGGAUAACCUACCUAUAAGACUGGGAUAACUUCGGGAAACCGGAGCUAAUACCGGAUAAUAUAUUGAACCGCAUGGUUCAAUAGUGAAAGACGGUUUUGCUGUCACUUAUAGAUGGAUCCGCGCCGCAUUAGCUAGUUGGUAAGGUAACGGCUUACCAAGGCAACGAUGCGUAGCCGACCUGAGAGGGUGAUCGGCCACACUGGAACUGAGACACGGUCCAGACUCCUACGGGAGGCAGCAGUAGGGAAUCUUCCGCAAUGGGCGAAAGCUUGACGGAGCAACGCCGCGUGAGUGAUGAAGGUCUCCGGAUCGUAAAACUCUGUUAUUAGGGAAGAACAAAUGUGUAAGUAACUAUGCACGUCUUGACGGUACCUAAUCAGAAAGCCACGGCUAACUACGUG
rnacentral:rRNA from 1 species